rnacentral:rRNA from 1 species
UACGAAGGGGGCUAGCGUUGUUCGGAAUUACUGGGCGUAAAGGGCGCGUAGGCGGCCGGCCAAGUCGGGUGUGAAAUCCCUCGGCUCAACCGAGGAACUGCACUCGAUACUGGUUGGCUAGAGUCCGGGAGGGGAUGGUGGAAUUCCCAGUGUAGCGGUGAAAUGCGUAGAUAUUGGGAAGAACACCGGUGGCGAAGGCGGCCAUCUGGACCGGAACUGACGCUGAGGCGCGAAAGCCAGGGGAGCGAAUGGG